UACGAGAGGUCCAAGCGUUAGUCGGAAUCACUGGGCUUAAAGGGUGCGUAGGCUGGCUUGUAAGUGUUCUGUGAAAUCCCACGGCUCAACCAUGGAAUCGCAGGGCAUACUGCAAGCCUCGAGGAAGCUAGAGGCCGGUAGAACGAUAGGUGGAGCGGUGGAAUGCGUAGAUAUCUAUCGGAAUGCCAAAGGUGAAGACAACCGGCUGGGGCUUUCCUGACGCUGAGGCACGAAAGCGUGGGGAUCAAACAGG
rnacentral:rRNA from 1 species